ACUGGGAAAGCAGCAGAGGACUUAAGUCCGAUGAAUGGUGCGACCAUUGUGGCAUGAGCCGGAGAAGAGGCCAUUGUAGCGGAAGAGAGCAUAACGGAAGCCAUAUCUCCUUUUCUAUUUCUUCUUUACUAUGUGAGUUAGGUUUGGGUAUAAUGCUUUGGCCAUCUAUAUAUAAUGGUAUUAACACUGGAAACAAGCCGCAGAGUGAUAAGAGGGUUGAGAAUCCAAGAGAUUAGAGUAGAAUAGAAUUUAGACCAUUGAAAUUUUGAGUGGAUAUGGAUGAAGUUUGAUUGAAUUGUAACUGCCACAAAGGAUAAGAAAAUGUGGUGAUACCCCUAUCGGUUUGAACCACUAAAAUAGUGCCACGUGGAAGAUAAUUUCAUGAAUCUUAUCUAUAUCUAUAAAUGAAAUGAGUGAUGAUGGUGCUACUCAUUUUAUUUUCUGCUGGGUUUGGCCCAUUCUUUAAUGGGAAACAAAUAAUAUUAUUUAAGACUUUAUAUAUGUUCCGCAUUGAUCAUAUUCAAUUUUAGUUUAAAUGAUAUGGUAAGGCCCAAAUUAAAAAUUUGAUUGGGCCUUUAAAAAUGUGAAUAAAUUUUCAUGUCUAAAAUGAAAAUCUAAAAAUAUGUAAUGAGAAUAACUGAUGUGAAAGUUAAUAUACUAAAAUAUUGAUUUAUAAAUUUAGAGGAUUUCAAGUUAUAUUCAUUACAAAUUGUGUCUCUCUUUUUCAAUAUUCUCAUACUAAAUUUUACUUUGUUCCAAAUGGUGGAUAAUUUGUAUCAUUUAAUUCAAGAUGUGAAUCUAGGAGUCGAAUUUACUACUAGUCCUUUCUGUAGAAUAUUCCUACGGGUGUGACUGGUGACCAAGGGAAUAAGGAGAAACACUAUGUUCCUUAAUAUUUCUUAAACUUUUUACCAUUCAUAAGGAAUAUGUUUUCUUUUUCAUUCCUCUUCAUUCUUUUGUUUGUAGAGAAUUAUAGAACAAAUCAAUUCCUCGUUAAUUUUGAUAAGGAACCAUCAUUCCUCAUCAUUCCUAAAAUUUUAUUCCUACUCAUUCUUUUCCUAUCUGUUCAUGUUGUUCUUAUGAUGGUUAGUAGUCGCACUCGUAAUGAAUCAGUACGGGUGAAUCAAUAUUUAAUAUCCUUGAUUCAAAGAAAACAAAACCUCAUGGUGAUAAUAACAUGUUUGCCACUGAUCUGGGGCUUAAUGGGUAAUAUCACUGGGUGGAUAAUUGAAAAGUAAAACACCACAAAACCGCUGUACCAUAUGUAAUGGCGCCUAAAAAAGCUGCAUGCUAUGCUUUAGGCAAUGGCUUAACCUGACAGUAUAUCCUCUACUAUUUGAAAAAAUAAUAAGAUAGCUUGGGUGGACUUUUUUCAUGAUACCAUUUGGAUCUUUUUGACCCAAAAAUUUUGGUUUUGUUUGGUCAAUUUCCACCUUGUCUAAUCAACAAAAGUAACACAUAAAACAAAAUGUAUUCGACGUAUUAUGUUGCGAUUAUUUUAAAGCAAAUAAAAUAUAAUUUUUUUUAGAUAAGAUAGUAGAAAAAAUAAUUAUAUUUUUGUAUAUGGAGAUUUCUCAUAUGUAUUAUUUUCUUAUAAGAUAUUUUAUUUAAAUAAUUUUUAUUUAAAUAAAAGACAAUUUUUUUUGACGUCAAAUGGCCAUAAAAAAAAAGAAAAGACAAUUUGAAUUUUUCUUACAAAUAAGAUAUACUCAGAUCUAUCAAAAUAACAUAAAAAGUUACAAAUUCACUUGACAUAGUUCCAAGAUAAUAAUUUUUUAUAAAUUAUUUAAUUGGAAAACUUUUAAACAAGAAUGGCUAAAUUAUGUAUAUGAUCCACACUGCACAAAAUAAUUGAAUAUACUAUGGUUAAAUGGAAAAAAAAUGAAUAUCCAAGACUCUUAUCUUCAAAUCUUAUCCUAAAGAAUUCACGUCCACUUAUGCUUCCAUCAAAGAUUUUCAGUGGGGCCAUCGUUUACUUUAAGAUAUAGUUUGAAAAAUGUUUCUACCUUUCAACCAUGUGAUAAAAGUGUUACUGUGAAUCUAUUUUUCUAAUAAUUAGUUCAUUUUAAUAACAUCACUUCUUUUAUUUUUGCCUAACUUCAGUAAAGACAGUCCAAAGUUUAAAUUCACUUAGUUUUAAUAUACCUCAACUUUGUAAAAUUCAUGUUUCGAUCCAUUGUCUUAAUUUUUUUAAUGCAAAAUUCAAAAUAAUAUAUUUUUAUAACAUUACAUAUUUAUUUUUUAGGACAUUUGAGGACCCAAAAGAAAAUAUCUUGCAACCCGGAAAACAAAGAUUAAAUCCGGAAAUUACAACAAAAGAUAAAAUAUAUAAAAAGAUGAUAAAUCAAAGGCAGGGAAGGAUAAAGUUUUGUUGUUUACACAAAGCAAUGAAGCUGUGUAAUUAAGCAUCAGUGAAGCUUGGUGGCUUGUAGGCGAUGAAACUGAUGCACUGGGCUUGACGAUUGUUGUCGAAUCCGAUGAUCCUAAUGAAGGCGUUGGGGUACUCCUUUUUGCAUUCUUGUACUUCCUUCAACACCUGAGCUGAGUCAGUGCAUCCGAACAAAGGAAGCUUCCACAUUGUCCAGUAUCGUCCAUCAUAGUAUCCAGGGAUGUUUCCAUGCUCACGGUAUACAAAACCGUGCUACGAAAAAAAUUAUACAAACCAUAAAUCAAGAUUCCUUAUUUUCAUUUACUACAACACAAAUAUGCAUAAGAUCUCUAAGUGUUUACAAGAUCCGUAUGGUGAUCAUCUACAACUUAGUAUCAUUUACAAGAUCUCUUUAUUAUAAAUAUUUGUAAAUGUUCAGUUUUCAGUUUUUCUUACCUCCAACUCGAAUUCAAUACAUGGAGUCCACUUGUUGCGGAUAAGGUAGUCAACUUCCUUGGCUAUUUCGACAUCGGUAAGGUCAGGAAGGUAAGAGAGAGUCUCAAACUUCUUCUUGCCAACUGGAGGCCACACCUGUUUAUUACCAAUCAACAAAAGAAAUAUUAGUUUUGAAUAAUUGAGAAUUAAAAACCAUCAAUUUAUUUUGGGUAUAAGAAAUAUGUAUGACCUUCAUGCAGUUAACUCUUCCGCCGUUGCUUGUGAUGGAAGUAACUUUGGUGUUGGCCUUACAUGUCACUGGGAAAGCAGCAGAGGACUUAAGUCCGAUGAAUGGUGCGACCAUUGUGGCAUGAGCCGGAGAAGAGGCCAUUGUAGCGGAAGAGAGCAUAACGGAAGCCAUAUCUCCUUUUCUAUUUCUUCUUUACUAUGUGAGUUAGGUUUGGGUAUAAUGCUUUGGCCAUCUAUAUAUAAUGGUAUUAACACUGGAAACAAGCCGCAGAGUGAUAAGAGGGUUGAGAAUCCAAGAGAUUAGAGUAGAAUAGAAUUUAGACCAUUGAA
rnacentral:lncRNA from 1 species